rnacentral:lncRNA from 1 species
UUUUAUUAAGUUUUAGAGGGCAAUAGUAACAGCCACCUAAAAUAUUAUCAUAUUUUUCAAAUUAAAUUUUAGAAUCGCGAUUAAAUUUGCAACGUUUCAUAGUAACAAAUAGAAAAUUAGCUGGAAAAGAGAUUUCUCAAAUUCGCAUUGCGGAGUCGGAAAUUAAUUACAAGGAAUAGAAAUUUUAGUGUAUUUUAUGAAGAGUGGAGCAAUGACGAGUUACAAUCGAAAAUUCCUAUCACGUCACCUCUGUAUUAACAGUCAACUUCCCGUAUAUUCUAAGCCUAAUCUCUGUCUGUCCAGACAGCAACGCAGCUGUCAAACUGCUUCUUUUCCUCUGUUCUACCCCGAUCGAUAUUCCUCUGCUAGUAUUGUUCUGGCGCUGGAGGGGUUCACUCUUGUUUAUCUCCCAACUUGCAGCCUUGUAAUCUCCGUUUUUGUUUUACUUUCUAUCUAAUGCGCAUUUCUACUUAAUUUUUAUCGUUCGAUCUGUUCUGGGUUAUGUUUCUGAAUUAAUAUCCGAGAGCGCGCAUCAUCUAUUAUUAUUAUUAUUAUUAUUAUUAUUAUUAUUAUAAAGCGUUUACGUCGUUAUGAUAAUAAUAAUUGAAUUAGCA